rnacentral:rRNA from 1 species
UACGUAGGGGGCAAGCGUUGUCCGGAAUCAUUGGGGCGUAGAGCGCGUGUAGGCGGCUGACUAAGUCCGCUCUGAAAGCCCGGGGGCUCAACCCCCGGGAGGCGGGUGGAUACUGGUCAGCUCGAGUCCGGAAGAGGAGUGUGGAAUUCCUGGUGUAGCGGUGAAAUGCGCAGAUAUCAGGAGGAACACCGGUGGCGAAGGCGGGUCUCUGGGGCCGAUACUGACGCUGAGGAGCGAAAGCGUGGGGAGCGAACAGG